rnacentral:rRNA from 1 species
GUGCUUGGGCGAGAGUAGUACUAGGAUGGGUGACCCCCUGGGAAGKCCUCGUGUUGCACCCCCUCUUCUUUUUGCAUCUUCUUUCUUUUUUUGGCAGAAGAUGGUGAAARGAACCGUGCGUACGAGUAAACGUGGCAUAGUAAACGCGCACGCACAUUGUAAAACGUACAACGCGCAGCACCGACACGUUGGAAUAUAGGCACAAAAUCAGAUAAUCCCAACGGUUUGGAAUAUAGAAAUAAAAAGAGAUAAGGAAAA